rnacentral:lncRNA from 1 species
AGAGCUGGGCUAGGGCGAGAGGGAGGUUGCCUGCUCUCUGCCAGUCUGUACCCCACCGUCCCACCCCCACGCCUCCCACACGGAGUUCCCAAUUUCUCAGCCAGGUUUCAGAAGAGACAAAUCCCCUUUGCGCCCUGUGGCGCCGGUUUGCAACAGUCUCGGGCUGCCGGGUUUGGGAGAAAUCAAAGGUGCUAGACGGGAGAAUAUGGGAGGGGCAGGGGGUACCCGAACCGCGGGACCGGACUUCCUAAAAGGGGCAAGUGGAGAGCUUGUGGACCGAGCCGGGGGAGUCAGCAGAGACCCUUGUGAAAAAAACCGUUAACUCUUUCCUCCCCGGACAAACCGGACGUUUAAUUCCUUUCCAGGUCCUCUUUCCCCUUUUAUUAUUGGAAAUGCGGUCAUGCACAAAAAAUGCAUCGAUUCUGAUCAAAGAAGAGGAGAGGAGUAUUACUUCCGUGCCUUUUUUUGGGGGGGGGGGAGUCUUGAGCUAAUUAAAAUUUGGCUGCCUUCCAGGCAUUAAUUUCCUAGUUCACUGACUCACAAUUUUUUCUGAAUACUAGUGAAAGUGCACUGUAUGUAACCCGCAAACGUGUAUUCACAUUUUAUUUACGCUUCGACUUAGCUAG